rnacentral:rRNA from 1 species
CGCGAGCCCCCGCGCCUGGAGGAAGGAGAAGUCGUAACAAGGUAUCCGUAGGUGAACCUGCGGAUGGAUCCCUCG